rnacentral:rRNA from 1 species
CCUACGGGAGGCAGCAGUGGGGAAUAUUGGGCAAUGGAGGCAACUCUGACCCAGCAACGCCGCGUGAAUGAUGAAGGUCUUCGGGUUGUAAAGUUCUUUUCUAAGCGAGGAAGGAAGUGAGGGUACCUUACGAGUAAGCCGCGGCUAACUACGUGCCAGCAGCCGGGGUAAUACGUAGGAGGCAAGCGUUAUCCGGAAUGACUGGGCGUAAGGGGCGCGUAGGUGGUUAGACAAGUUAGUAGCGAAACUCCGGAGCUUAACUUCGGAACUACUACUAAAACUGGUGGAUUUGAGUGCAGGAGGGGCAAUCGGAAUUCCUAGUGUAGCGGUGGAAUGCGUAGAUAUUAGGAGGAACACCAGAGGCGAAGGCGGAUUGUUAGAAUGUAACUGACACUGAGGUACGAAAGCGUGGGGAGCAAACAGGAUUAGAUACCCGUGUAGUC